GAGGAGGAGGAGAAGGAGGAGGGAGGCAGAGAGGGACAACAAGUAGUCUGUUUAGAGGGACUCUGCUGAGCUGAUGGUAGAGGAUUAUUAAUCUAGCAUCCUGACCUCCACGGCUGCUUGUGAAACAGAAUGUCAUACAGUCAGAGCAAAGAGCAAAGCCAAAUCCUCCUUAUGUCACCUGAGAUGAGCAGACCACUAGAAAAGCUUUCAAUCUUCUUAGAGGCACCAGAUAUCGAUCCUGUUCGCUGGAAGAGGCUCACUAAACACGGUAUGUGUGUGUUGACUAACAGACAAAACUAUAUAUUAGCCCAUCAUCUACCCCACUGGCUUUUAGUAAUAUGAAGCCGAGUUGAAACCCUAGUUUAACAGUGACGUAAUACCUUUUUGCCAUGUCAUCAUGACUAACACGGUUUACUGACAGCAGCAGAAGGAAACCAAAUACUUCCUUGUCAACAAUCUCCUUUUUGUCCUCUUACCGAUCAGAGUGACAGGUGUGCCGUAUUCCAGGGCGGAAAUGGCCGUCCACUUCCCUGUUCCUUUCUGUCCGGCACUGUCGCGGAUCUUGGGCAGCAGAGGUGUGCCAUCAGUGUCCCUGUAUUUGAGGAUGUUGGCCGUGAUCUCGAUCAGGAAGGAGUCCAACUCCGUCUUGUUCCAGCUGGUGAAAGCCUGAGACCGUGUGAACAAAUUAUGGAAUCAACUCCACCAUUUUUUAUUUAACAAUUGAUUUUAGACAGCUGAUGCAUUGUGAAGGUUACAUCGUUAAGCGAUAACAAACUCACCUCUGCCAUCUCAUCAUGGUUCAUACCCAGAACAUCCUUCAUCAGAUGAUAGGCCUCACAAAUCAGCUGCAUGUCCCCGUACUCGAUGCCGUUAUGGACCAUUUUCACAAAAUGACCUGCACCGUCAUCUCCAACCUGCAGAAGCAAGCCGGUCAGAAUUGUUUUUGCGAGGCGACACCAUGGUAAUAGCUACUCAACAUUCUUACAACUCUAGUCAGUAACAAGCAUUAUGCAUAUUUCCACUCACCCAGUCACAACAAGGCUCCCCUGUUCCAACCUUGGCAGCGAUGCUCUGGAAGAUGUCUUUUAUGUGUGGCCUUAAAACAAAAGCAGAAGUUAGUGUUAAAAUUGAUUAACCUACAACCAGAAAUGGCUGAAUAAUGGAUGUUUUGUCAUGUUCAAUAUGUUUUAAACUGUAAGACAGAGUUUAUGAAGACUGACCAGGCCUCUUUGUGUCCUCCUGGCAUGAGGGAGGGUCCAUAACGUGCCCCUUCCUCUCCACCACUGACUCCACUACCGACAAACAGCAAGUCCUUCUCUUUCAGACUCUUACACCGCCGCUGUAUGACAGAGAGAAACAAGUAAUGUGAGCAUAUCUUCUGUUAGCUAUCAACAUUUUCUGCAAUGCAGUGAUCGACAUCUGCUUACUGUAGUGUCCGUGUAUUCAGAGUUGCCACCGUCGAUGAUGAUAUCACCUGCCUCCAGGAGAGGAACCUGAAGUUGAUCAAAUGUAGCUUAAAGUAAAUAAUUUUAACUCAGCAUGACGAAAAUAUACAAACAACUUUACACAAACUACUGACCAGUUUGUCGAUAAAGUCAUCAACAGCCUGUCCUGCCUUGACCAGCAUGAUGAUCCUCCUGGGCUUCUUCAGCUUGGACACCAUGUCCUCCAGAGACUCGGCUCCGAUCACCUUGGAGCCUUUGGCCUCGUUCUUCAGGAAGUCGUGCACCUUGGACACGGUUCGGUUGUAGGCGCAGACC